CGAUGAACCACUUCGGUGGGGAUUAGUGGCGAACGGGUGAGUAACACGUGGGCAAUCUGCCCUUCACUCUGGGACAAGCCCUGGAAACGGGGUCUAAUACCGGAUAUGACGCGCUCGGGCAUCCGAUGUGCGUGGAAAGCUCCGGCGGUGAAGGAUGAGCCCGCGGCCUAUCAGCUUGUUGGUGAGGUAACGGCUCACCAAGGCGACGACGGGUAGCCGGCCUGAGAGGGCGACCGGCCACACUGGGACUGAGACACGGCCCAGACUCCUACGGGAGGCAGCAGUGGGGAAUAUUGCACAAUGGGCGCAAGCCUGAUGCAGCGACGCCGCGUGAGGGAUGACGGCCUUCGGGUUGUAAACCUCUUUCAGCAGGGAAGAAGCGCAAGUGACGGUACCUGCAGAAGAAGCGCCGGCUAACUACGUGCCAGCAGCCGCGGUAAUACGUAGGGCGCGAGCGUUGUCCGGAAUUAUUGGGCGUAAAGAGCUCGUAGGCGGUCUGUCGCGUCGGAUGUGAAAGCCCGGGGCUUAACCCCGGGUCUGCAUUCGAUACGGGCAGACUAGAGUGUGGUAGGGGAGAUCGGAAUUCCUGGUGUAGCGGUGAAAUGCGCAGAUAUCAGGAGGAACACCGGUGGCGAAGGCGGAUCUCUGGGCCAUUACUGACGCUGAGGAGCGAAAGCGUGGGGAGCGAACAGGAUUAGAUACCCUGGUAGUCCACGCCGUAAACGGUGGGCACUAGGUGUUGGCGACAUUCCACGUCGUCGGUGCCGCAGCUAACGCAUUAAGUGCCCCGCCUGGGGAGUAC
rnacentral:rRNA from 1 species